GACGAACGCUGGCGGCGUGCUUAACACAUGCAAGUCGAACGGAAAGGCCCUGCUUUUGUGGGGUGCUCGAGUGGCGAACGGGUGAGUAACACGUGAGUAACCUGCCCUUGACUUUGGGAUAACUUCAGGAAACUGGGGCUAAUACCGGAUAGGAGCUCCUGCUGCAUGGUGGGGGUUGGAAAGUUUCGGCGGUUGGGGAUGGACUCGCGGCUUAUCAGCUUGUUGGUGGGGUAGUGGCUUACCAAGGCUUUGACGGGUAGCCGGCCUGAGAGGGUGACCGGCCACAUUGGGCCUGCGAUGCGGCCCAGACUCCUACGGGAGGCAGCAGUGGGGAAUAUUGCACAAUGGGCGGAAGCCUGAUGCAGCAACGCCGCGUGCGGGAUGACGGCCUUCGGGUUGUAAACCGCUUUCGCCUGUGACGAAGCGUGAGUGACGGUAAUGGGUAAAGAAGCACCGGCUAACUACGUG
rnacentral:rRNA from 1 species